UCCACGCCCUAAACGAUGCACACUAGUUGUUGGGAUGCUAGUCAUCUCAGUAAUGCAGUUAACACAUUAAGUGUGCCGCCUGGGGAGUACGGUCGCAAGAUUAAAACUCAAAGGAAUAGACGGGGACCCGCACAAGCGGUGGAGCAUGUGGUUUAAUUCGAAGAUACACGAAGAACCUUACCUAGCCUUGAUAUCCUUGGAAUCCUAUAGAGAUAUGGGAGUGCUAGUUACUA
rnacentral:rRNA from 1 species